UAGGGAAUCUUCCGCAAUGGGCGAAAGCCUGACGGAGCAACGCCGCGUGAGUGAUGAAGGUCUUCGGAUCGUAAAACUCUGUUAUUAGGGAAGAACAAAUGUGUAAGUAACUAUGCACGUCUUGACGGUACCUAAUCAGAAAGCCACGGCUAACUACGUGCCAGCAGCCGCGGUAAUACGUAGGUGGCAAGCGUUAUCCGGAAUUAUUGGGCGUAAAGCGCGCGUAGGCGGUUUUUUAAGUCUGAUGUGAAAGCCCACGGCUCAACCGUGGAGGGUCAUUGGAAACUGGAAAACUUGAGUGCAGAAGAGGAAAGUGGAAUUCCAUGUGUAGCGGUGAAAUGCGCAGAGAUAUGGAGGAACACCAGUAGCGAAGGCGACUUUCUGGUCUGUAACUGACGCUGAUGUGCGAAAGCGUGGGGAUCAAACAGG
rnacentral:rRNA from 1 species